UGACGUUAACGUCAGAAGAAGCACCGGCUAACUCCGUGCCAGCAGCCGCGGUAAUACGGAGGAUCCAAGCGUUAUCCGGAAUCAUUGGGUUUAAAGGGUCCGCAGGCGGAUUUAUAAGUCAGUGGUGAAAGCCUACAGCUUAACUGUAGAACUGCCAUUGAUACUGUAAGUCUUGAAUUCGGUCGAAGUGGGCGGAAUAUGUCAUGUAGCGGUGAAAUGCUUAGAUAUGACAUAGAACACCGAUAGCGAAGGCAGCUCACUAGGCCUGGAUUGACGCUCAGGGACGAAAGCGUGGGGAGCGAACAGGAUUAGAUACCCUGGUAGUCCACGCCCUAAACGAUGUCAACUAGGUGUGUGAAAGUAUAUCUUUUGCGUAUCGAAGCUAACGCGAUAAGUUGACCGCCUGGGGAGUACGGCCGCAAGGUUAAAACUCAAAGGAAUUGACGGGGGCUCACACAAGCGGUGGAGGAUGUGGCUUAAUUCGAGGCAACGCGAAGAACCUUAUCCCGGACUUGACAUCUAUGGAUUAGCAUUGUGAAAGCAGUGUGACGCCUUCGGGUGGAACAUAGACAGGUGCUGCAUGGCUGUCGUCAGCUCGUGCCG
rnacentral:rRNA from 1 species